GAAAAGAAACUAACAAGGAUUCCCCUAGUAACUGCGAGUGAAGCGGGAAGAGCUCAAAUUUUGAAUCUGGCGGUCUUUGGCCGUCCGAGUUGUAAUCUAGAGAAGUGUUUUCCGCGCUGGACCGUGUAUAAGUCUCCUGGAAGGGAGCGUCGUAGAGGGUGAGAAUCCCGUCUUUGACACGGACUGCCAGUGCUAUGUGAUGCGCUCUCGACGAGUCGAGUUGUUUGGGAAUGCAGCUCAAAAUGGGUGGUAAAUUCCAUCUAAAGCUAAAUACAGGCGAGAGACCGAUAGCGAACAAGUACCGUGAGGGAAAGAUGAAAAGAACUUUGGAAAGAGAGUUAAACAGUACGUGAAAUUGCUGAAAGGGAAACGCUUGAUGUCAGUCGCGUCUGCCGGGGAUCAACCUUGCUUCUCGCUGGGUGUACUUCCCGGUCGACGGGUCAGCAUCAGUUUCGGUCGCCGUACAAGGGUGAGGGGAAUGUGGCACUCUUCGGGGUGUGUUAUAGCCUUUCGUCGUAUGCGGCGCUCGGGACUGAGGAACUCAGCACGGCCUCGCGUCUGUGCUUAGGAUGCUGGCAUAAUGGCCUUAAUCGACCCGUCUUGAAACACGGACCAAGGAGUCUAACAUGCCUGCGAGUGUUUGGGUGACAAACCCGAGCGCGCAAUGAAAGUGAAAGUUGAGACCUCUGUCGUGGAGGGCAUCGACGCCCGGACCUGAGUCUUUGACGACGGAUCUGC
rnacentral:rRNA from 2 species